rnacentral:lncRNA from 1 species
CUAGGGGGCAGGAAGUGGCCCUCUCCUCCGCUCUGAGAGCGUUUCCGGAGCGCCUACUGUGUGCUUGUUGCUAGGGUGGGGCGUUACAAGGAAAGAAAGUGCCAGACCCGACCUUAGUAAGCGUGCUCGCUGCAGCGGUCCUCGGGCUGGCGCUGGGAAACUGAGGGACACUUAGUCCUGAGAACCUCCAGUUGGUAAGGGACAGUUCAGGAUGCGAUGGCUCUUCGGUCCCCCAGGGCCCACGGAGUCGAGAAGAAAGCCAUCUCCGAUAAAACCCCAAGCAGGUAGCCCAGUCACGCACUCGAGAGGCGACCGGGGGUGAUAACUGGCAGCGCUUAGGGAGCGUUGAUGACGCAGCCAGGCUGGCCCCGCGCUUCGUGGGCAUCAUCCCGUGCAGUUCUCCGGUUAUCUGGUUCACCUGGACUUCAUAAACGCCAGACUUCUUUACAAGUUGAGCAUGCUGUUGUCCGUCCCAAAUGUCAGUGAUACUACUCGGUGCUCUCUAUUGCACAUGUGGUCCAGGGUGGCAGCCAUAAUUUCUUGGCCAAGUUGUGCUCCAUCCACAGCCAUCUGAGAGAACAAGGGAGACCUGGGCACUACUAGGCUGGCUUUGAAUUCCUGAGCUCAAGUGAUCCUCUUGCCCUCAGUCUGCAAGCAGCAAGGACUGCAGGGUCUUGCUAUGUACUUCAGGCUGGUCUUGAACUCACUGUGUAGUCCAGGCUGGCCUCAUACUCAUGGCAAUCCUCCUGCUUCCUGAGUGCUGAGAUUCCAGGUAUGGUGAUGCAUGCCUAUAAUCCCAGCACUACGACGAGAUGAGGUAGGAGCACUGCUGCAGUCAGAACUACGUAGCAAGUCCCUGUGUCGAAAAAAAAAAAUGUUGACGCCCUUAAAGUGUGUGUUUGUAUUUCUUCUACAAGUCCCAUGUUACUUGCCCACUUUUUCCUGCUGAAUUGUCUUUUUCUUACUGAAUUGUUGAAGCUUUUUUAUGUAUUAGUGUCAUUUAACAGGUUUCUUGUACAUAUAUCAUCUUUUACCUGUUCGUAUUUGGCUUUACCUUUGCUUAUGGUUUCUUGAGCCCUGCAGGAUAUAUUUAGACUUCAUGCACUUAAAUCUGUCAUUCUUUUCCUUUGUUGCUUCUGGGUUUUGUGUCAGACUUGGAAAGUUCUGGGGAAGCCUUGCUGUUGCCUCCAAAUAUUGGCUGAGAUGAACCCAUUAGCUUCUUUUAAAUUUUUUCCUCUGCAAAGCUAAGAUGUUAAUACUUUGGCUAACUGCAUGAGAAGUCACCUCCUUCCCGCUCCUGAGAAUGGGGGUGCUCUUACCCUAGUC